CAUGCAGUCGUACGAAAGUGUUAAAACUUUAGUGGCGGACGGGUGAGUAACACGCGAGAAUUUACCUUUAGGAGGGGAAUAACAGUUGGAAACGACUGCUAAUGCCGCAUAUCAUAACUAUGAAAGAAGAAAUUCGCCUAAAGAAAAGCUUGCGUCUGAUUAGCUAGUUGGUAAGGGUAAAGGCCUACCAAGGCGACGAUCAGUAGCUGGUUUGAGAGGACGACCAGUCACACUGGAACUGAGACACGGUCCAGACUCCUACGGGAGGCAGCAGUGGGGAAUUUUCUGCAAUGGGCGAAAGCCUGACAGAGCAAUACCGCGUGAGGGAAGAAAGCCCACAGGGUUGUAAACCUCUUUUGUCAAGGAAGAAGUUCUGACGUUACUUGACGAAUAAGCAUCGGCUAACUCCGUGCCAGCAGCCGCGGUAAGACGGGGGAUGCAAGUGUUAUCCGGAAUCACUGGGCGUAAAGCGUUUGUAGGUGGUUUAGUAAGUCUAUUGUUAAAGCUUGAAGCUCAACUUCAAAAAUGUAAUAGAAACUACUAGACUUGAGGAUAGUAGGGGUAAAGGGAAUUUCCAGUGGAGCGGUGAAAUGCGUAGAGAUUGGAAGGACCACCGAUGGCGAAGGCACUUUACUGGGCUAUUUCUGACACUAAGAGACGAAAGCUAGGGUAGCGAAUGGGGAUUAGAUACCCCAG
rnacentral:rRNA from 1 species